UACGUAGGGGGCUAGCGUUGUCCGGAAUCAUUGGGCGUAAAGAGCUCGUAGGCGGUUUGUCGCGUCCGCUGUGAAAAUCCAGGGCUUAACCCUGGACUUGCAGUGGGUACGGGCAGACUGGAGUGUGGUAGGGGAGACUGGAAUUCCUGGUGUAGCGGUGGAAUGCGCAGAUAUCAGGAGGAACACCGAUGGCGAAGGCAGGUCUCUGGGCCACUACUGACGCUGAGAAGCGAAAGCAUGGGGAGCGAACAGG
rnacentral:rRNA from 1 species